rnacentral:lncRNA from 1 species
GCUCAGCUUUGCUUCUCACGCAUAGGGCGUUGUGAUGCUUCCAAUCAUAUAUCUUGACUUUAGGUCUUCCUGGAUCUCUACGGUGCUUGUUUCUUAUAUUUGUCAAGUUAUAUUUGGUGGUUGGUGCUUGGUACUUGGUGCUAGAGGGUGAGAAGAAAAGACAACAUAUCAGAAAGAAUCUUCGCUGCACUUCUGACAAUUUAUUCAUGGUCAUCUUUAAUUGAGUUUCUUUUGUAAAGAGCACUGAAAAUUACUGUUAUUUGUGCCGAAGGCCUCUCUUGUUCACCCCUUGUUUAUGUUUGUAUGAGGUACUCUGCUCUGCCAUGCAAUAGAUGACAUAUCUGAAUUCUGGACUAUGCCAUCUGAGAGAGCUUGAAUUGGGCAGGCUUAUCCUCUUGUCGGUAUUCCUCAUGCUGAGAUGCCUCUGCCCCUUAACCUGGUAGGGCAGAUGGACCUGUUUAUGUAAAUACUUAGCAGUACCACGGGAUUUUGAGAUGAAGAUAAGCCUGUGCUAAGCUUGAAAAGCAGCCGAUCAAAGUUAGAAGGGUGAAUUGCCCUUUUCAUACUUCUUGAUUUUGGAAAUUCCUUCUGGCCUUUGCCAGUUAUAAAAAAUUAAUUAUAAAGCUCUUUUUUUUUUCCCCCGAUUUGA